AGAAGCAGCAAAGCAAUUAUCUUUGGUUUUGUCCUUGAGGAUGUAGCUGAUGCAGGCAGGUGACCUGUCCCUGUCCAGAAUAGUCCCCGUCUGUCUAUCUCACAGCUAUGCUGAACAAGGCCAGAGAGACAGGCAAUCACCUCCACCAAGUACUCUGGGUGCAUUAGCACCAAGCCCACCCUAUAGGACUGAGGGUCUGGGGUAAAUUUCCAAUGUGCCGCUCUGAACAGGUAGGCGCUAAAGACACAAAGGUGGAAAAACAGCUAGAGGUGAAAUCACAAGAGAGCAGGUCCUGGUGACCUUCACUUUGCACAGGGGGCAGGAAGAACAAGAAAGAGAUGCUACCAAAGAGUGACAAAAAGCCAGUGAUAGGAACCAAGAACCCGACAAGUCACGGGAAGGAGAAACGGAGAGACGUGGAAGGGAUGGCCUUGUGAGCUAAACCUUAAGAAAGCAAUUCACGUGACAGGUUUGGGACAGAAAUGCAAAGAACUUUCUGCCAGCACAGCAGGUAGGUGACAUCCCAAAAGCCCCCUUGAAACGAUGAAUAGAACCAAGCCCCAAAUCUGCUACUUUCCCUGAGCAUGCAUGCCUGUGGCAGUUUAAUUUGUAAAUGAAGCAAAGGGGAGAUUUAAUAAUAAUGAUAAAAUAGAAAUCACAACAAAAUGCUAAAAUAAAAACGACUUAAAACUUGUGAAUUGGAGAGAGUCUUGAGCAACUCCGGCCUCCUUCCCAUCACACCCAGGAGGAGCCUCCGCUGGUCCAAGUCAUUUCAUCAUCAUAACCACGACCAUGAGGCUGAGAUCCAGAAGCCACAGCCAUGCCCAGAGCCACUGACACCAAGCCAGGCACCACAGGCAACAGAGGCCCAGGCGACCUCAACACACAGCAUAUGCCAGUGGAGACCAGAAGCCAUCCCAAUGAAGGUUUGGAGAACAGUCCAAUGUAAGAAACAGAUGCCCAGAGAACCCAACACAAAAAGAUGCCAGAGACGAAAGCAGCUGUUCUGCCAGUGGAGAAUUUAUCUGCUCCAGAGGCUGAGCAGGGCAGGGCUAAGCAGAUGGCUUACCAUCUCCACCAGCAUCCAGUCAGUCACCUAACAAGAAUAAAUGACUAUACAGCUCUAGCAGUAAGAACGAACAAAGGAGGCUGGAGAGACGGCCCUGCAGUUGAGCUUCAUCGUUCUUGCAGAAGACCAGAGUUUGGUUCCCAGCUCCCACCUGGCAGCUCACGGCCACCUAUAACGCCAGCUCCGGGGGCUCCAACAGUCUCUUCUGACCUCCAAGGCAACUGCACUCAUCUGCACACACCUCCACACACACAUAUGCACAUACAUGGUAAAACUAUUUUCUAAGAAGAAAUGAAGAGCAGGGCUGAAGACCCAAUGCUUACUCUUCUGCCCCUUGACCACAUACACGAGACCUCUCUGAGCUGCCUAUGCAGCACGAGCAUUUUAAUAUAUUUACCUUCUGGUAAGGAUAAACAUUUGUAGAAAGGCUGCUUUUUCUCAAUAUCUUUAAAUGCUUUUAAAUUGCUUCAUAUCUCGUCAAGUUAAAAGUUUUCAAGAACUCGAUUUUUAAUUUAAAUAAAAGUGUAUGUCCUAGGUUGCUUUCUAUUGUUAUAACACCAUGACCCAAAACUAACUUGGGGAGGAAAGGAUUUGCUUUAUAAUUCCACAUCAUAGUGGGUCACUGAGAGAAGUCAGGGCAGGAGCAGAGGCCAUGGUUGGUUGCUGCUUACUGGCUUGCUCCCCAUGGCUUGCUCAACCUGCUUUCUUACAGAACCCAGGACACCUGCCCAGAGAUGGCACUUAGUGCACUAGGCCCUCCUACAUCAAUCAUUAACCAAGAAAAUGUCCUAUAGACCUGCCUACAGGCCAAUCUUAUGAAAGUAAAACUCUCUUCCUAGAUUAUCUCUAGCUGGUGUCAAGCUAAUGAACAUGACAUUGUCUACAUUACAAACUCAGCAUGCCUAAAGCCAACCACGGAUAUUCCAAAAUCUGAGCUUUUGAGCAGGCACCUGUAGUUCAUUUUUUCAUUCUUUGGGGCCAACCACCCAGCUCCCAAAUAAAUACAUGGAGACUUAUUCUUGGUUAUGAAUGCCCGGCCUUAGCUUGGCUUGUUUCUAGCCAGCUUUUCUAACUUAAAUUAUCCCAUUUCUCUUUAACUAUGCUUUCCCUCUGGGCUUUUUACCUUUAUUUUAUAUGUCUUUCUUUCCUUCUUACUCUGUGGCUGGCCCCUGGCGACCUCCUCUUCUUCUCUUGAGCCUAGAUUUCUCCUCCUAUUCUCUCUGCCUGCCAUCCCCACCUGUUUCUCUCUCCUGCCUAGCUAUUGACCAUUCAGCUCUUUAUUAACCCAAACAGGUGUUUUAGGCAGGCAAAGUAACACAGCUUACAGAGUUAAACAAAUGCAACACAAAGAAUGCAGCACACCUCUGCAUCAUUAAACAAAUGCUCCACAGCAUAAACAAAUGUAACACAUCUUAAACUAAUAUUCCACAACAGGCACCACAAUGGGGAACCCACACUGGCCUCAUGUCCCAGACUGAAGUCAGAAAGUAGGCAUACUGAAAACAUUGUACAAAAAUUACCUUUGGGACAUACAGAAAAAGCACA